rnacentral:lncRNA from 1 species
CGCUUCUACUCCAAGAGGACUUAUCUUAUGAGGAAGUACCAGUUGGUAUCACGGACCGAAAGAGUAGGAUACUCCGCAACUGGAAAAUGUCAUUUGUAAAGGUAGUGUGGCAGAACCACAAAAAAGGAAGUUUCCUGGGAGCUAGAAUCUGACUUUAGAACCCAGUAUCUCCAUUUGUUCGAACAAGAGUAAGAGACAAAUUUGGAGGAUCCAAUUUCUUUAGGGGGGGAGAGAGUUGUAACAACCCAAAAAAAAAAAGAAGUAAUUAUUUAUUAAUUAAU